rnacentral:rRNA from 1 species
UAUGUAGGGGGCAAGCGUUGUCCGGAAUCAUUGGGCGUAAAGCGCGUGUAGGCGGCCAGAAAAGUCCGCUGUGAAAACUCGAGGCUCAACUUCGAGCUGUCGGUGGAAACUUUCUGGCUAGAGUCCGGAAGAGGAGAAUGGAAUUCCUGGUGUAGCGGUGAAAUGCGCAGAUAUCAGGAAGAACACCCGUGGCGAAGGCGGUUCUCUGGGACGGUACUGACGCUGAGACGCGAAAGCGUGGGGAGCGAACAGG